UCCCUGAUAGCUCAGUUGGUAAAGAAUCUGCCUACAAUGCAGGAGACCCUGGUUCCAUUCCUGGGUCGGGAA
rfam:Ovis aries breed Texel chromosome 1, whole genome shotgun sequence.